UAGGGAAUCUUCGGCAAUGGGGGGAACCCUGACCGAGCAACGCCGCGUGAGUGAAGAAGGUUUUCGGAUCGUAAAGCUCUGUUGUUAAGGAAGAACGAGUGUGAGAAUGGAAAGUUCAUACUGUGACGGUACUUAACCAGAAAGGGACGGCUAACUACGUGCCAGCAGCCGCGGUAAUACGUAGGUCCCGAGCGUUGUCCGGAUUUAUUGGGCGUAAAGCGAGCGCAGGCGGGUAAGCAAGUUAGAAGUGAAAUCCUGUAGCUCAACUACAGUAAGCUUUUAAAACUGCUCAUCUUGAGAUAUGGAAGGGAAAGUGGAAUUCCUAGUGUAGCGGUGAAAUGCGCAGAUAUUAGGAGGAAUACCGGUGGCGAAGGCGACUUUCUGGCCAUAAUCUGACGCUGAGGUACGAAAGCGUGGGUAGCAAACAGG
rnacentral:rRNA from 1 species